GACGAACGCUGGCGGCGCGCCUAACACAUGCAAGUCGAACGGAGUCAAGAGGAGCUUGCUUUUCUUGACUUAGUGGCGAACGGGUGAGUAACGCGUGAGUAACCUGCCCUGGAGUGGGGGACAACAGUUGGAAACGACUGCUAAUACCGCAUAAGCCCACGGAUCUGCAUGGAUCUGCGGGAAAAGGAUUUAUUCGCUCUAGGAUGGACUCGCGUCCAAUUAGCUAGCUGGUGAGGUAACGGCCCACCAGGGCGACGAUUGGUAGCCGGACUGAGAGGUUGAACGGCCACAUUGGGACUGAGACACGGCCCAGACUCCUACGGGAGGCAGCAGUGGGGGAUAUUGCACAAUGGGGGAAACCCUGAUGCAGCGACGCCGCGUGGAGGAAGAAGGUUUUCGGAUUGUAAACUCCUGUCGUGAGGGACGAUAAUGACGGUACCUAACAAGAAAGCACCAGCUAACUACGUG
rnacentral:rRNA from 1 species